UGAGCAAUCUGCCCUUCUCUUCGGAAUAAGCGUGGGAAACCGCGUCUAAUGCCGAAUACGACCUCCUUUCGCAUGAUCGGAGGUGGAAAGCUCCGGCGGAGAAGGAUGAGCUCGCGGCCUAUCAGCUAGUUGGUGUGGGUAAUGGCCCACCAAGACGACGACGGGUAGCCGGCCUGAGAGGGUGACCGGCCACACUGGGACUGAGACACGGCCCAGACUCCUACGGGAGGNAGCG
rnacentral:rRNA from 1 species